AGGAUAAUAGUUAAAUAUAACAUUUAGUUUGCAAUUAAAAAGUAUUGAAUAAUCAAUUUAUCUUA
rnacentral:tRNA from 1 species